CAUUUCACCAAAAAAGGGGGAAGCAAGGCAAGACGUGGCUGCAGCGGUCUGCAGACGUGACUUCUGAUCAAAUUCGAACCUCCUAAAGAAACAAAGAGCGACGUUACAUUGCGGGAUGACGUCACCUGAAAAUGACCAAUAGCGUGGCGCGCUGCUGAGCUGUGUGCCAACCGCUCUUUUUUUCAUGCAGGAGACUCAAGUUGGCUUCGCUAACGGACACAGUUUUGAACUCGUAUAUUAGCGCCAUUUAUUGCUGCUUGGACCACAGCAUCUUCGGAAUUUGUAGACAUCCUGGCAGCUUACAAUUAGUUCGAGGUGAGACAUCUUGGAAAUGGGGGACAGCAUAAGGAGUUCCAUUACUAAGGUGCUGCCGGACCUGUCUGCCUCAAUCCUUGAAAUUGUACUGGAGGCACUACAAUCAUUAGGAGUGGAGACAUCUGAGAAACAAACCACACCAAAUAUGGAAAUUUCAAGCCAGGCCAGCAUAUCGUCUCCAUCUGUUUUAAGGUUUAAGGGUGGUGGCACAGCUAAGACCUAAGA